UUUCGCAAUGCCCGAAAGGGUGACGAAGCGACGCCGCGUGAGUGAGGAAGGCCUUCGGGUUGUAAAGCUCUGUCAGGAGUUAAGAAAUAUAAGUGUGUUAAUACCACAUUUAUUUGACGAAGGCUCCAAAGGAAGCCACGGCUAACUCUGUGCCAGCAGCCGCGGUAAUACAGAGGUGGCAAGCGUUGUUCGGAAUUAUUGGGCGUAAAGAGCACGUAGGUGGGUUUGUAAGUCAGAUGUGAAAGCCUUCUGUUCAACGGAAGAAUUGCAUCUGAAACUGCGAGUCUUGAGUGUAGGAGGGGAGAAUGGAACUUCUGGUGGAGCGGUGAAAUGCGUAGAUAUCAGAAGGAACGCCGGCGGCGAAAGCGAUUCUCUGGCCUAUUACUGACACUCGGUGUGCGAAAGCUAGGGGAGCAAACGGGAUUAGAUACCCCGGUAGUCCUAGCUGUAAACGAUGGGCGCUAAGUAGAGGGGUUUUA
rnacentral:rRNA from 1 species